UCGAGAAUCUUCCGCAAUGCACGAAAGUGUGACGGAGCGACACCGCGUGAUGGAUGACACCUUUCGGGGCGUAAACAUCUUUUAUAAAGGAGGAAAUUAUUGACGUUACUUUAUGAAUAAGGGGCUCCCAAUCUCGUGCCAGCAGGAGCGGUAAUACGAGAGCCUCAAGCGUUAUCCGGAAUUAUUGGGCGUAAAGGGUGCGUAGGUGGUUUGAUUAGUCUUCUGUUAAAUCUUCGAGCUUAACUCGAAA
rnacentral:rRNA from 1 species